ACCGUGUGGGAAAGACCGGGUUCCGGGAGCGAGCGCCUGUCUCUUUAAGUGCCAGGGGCUGCGCUCCCGCCCGGGGAGCCCGGAGCCGGAUCUACAAUCCGGUCCCUCCCGCUCCGGCGCUUGUUGCUCGCCGGGCCCGAGCGGGAGCUGCCACCGCCGGGCAGGGUAGCCGAGCGGCUUCUUUCUCCUCCUUCUCGCGCCACACCUCCCCCGAGAGCCGGUGGAGGGGGCAGGGCAACCCCCGCAGGAGGCAAGAGGUGCGGGGUGAACAGGCAUUGCCCCCCCCCCCCCGCCUUCAAGUCCCGAGGCGCUAAGUAGCCGAGGGGGCGAGACAUGCGUCGCUCCCCGCUGUCCAGCUUCGCCGCCGCCCGCGCCAGGAGAGGAGGGACCGGGGAGCCCACACCUGCAAACUCGCCCUAGAAGUCUCAGGGUGCGGAGGCCCCCACCCCGCUCCCCCGCGGACUCCACCUCUCGGCGGGUGGUCUCAGCCCCUGUCCGGGGACCCGUGCCAAUGACCCCAGUGGUGGUUUCGCUUUCUCCCCUCUCGGCGGUGUGAACGUGUGUGUGUGUCCGCAGCGUGAUGGGCAACCAGGUGGAGAAACUGACCCACCUAAGUUAUAAGGAAGUUCCCACAGCCGACCCGACCGGCAUGGACCGGGAUGACGGGCCUCGCAUCGGGGUCUCCUACAUCUUUUCCAACGACGACGAGGAAGCGGAGUCGCAGCCACCGCCCCAGGGUCCGGAUGGCGGGGGCUUGCCCAAAGGCGAGGACGGGCCGCCGCCGCCCCCGCCGCAGCCCUACGACCCUCGGCUGCACGAGGUGGAGUGCUCCGUGUUCUACCGCGACGAGUGCAUCUACCAGAAAAGCUUCGCGCCGGGCUCCGCGGCGCUGAGCACCUACACGCCCGAGAACCUGCUCAACAAGUGCAAGCCUGGCGACCUGGUGGAGUUCGUGUCCCAGGCGCAGUACCCGCACUGGGCUGUGUAUGUGGGUAACUUCCAGGUGGUGCAUUUGCACAGGCUGGAGGUGAGCAACAGCUUCCUGACCGACGCGAGCCAGGGCCGGCGCGGCCGCGUGGUGAACGAUCUGUACCGCUACAAGCCCCUCAGCCCCAGCGCCGUGGUGCGCAACGCGCUGGCACACGUGGGCGCCAAGGAGCGCGAGCUGAGCUGGCGCAACUCGGAGAGCUUCGCCGCCUGGUGCCGCUACGGCAAGCGCGAGUUCAAGAUCGGCGGCGAGCUGCGCAUCGGCAAGCAGCCCUACCGGCUGCAGAUCCAGCUCUCUGCCCAGCGCAGUCACACGCUCGAGUUCCAGAGCCUGGAGGACCUGAUCAUGGAGAAGCGGCGCAACGACCAGAUAGGGCGCGCGGCUGUGCUGCAGGAGCUCGCCAUGCACCUGCACCCGGCCGAGCCAGAAGAGGGCGACGGCGACACUACACGGACUAAGCCGCCUCUCGAGCGCCCCCCUGAGCCCUGCUGGGAGGAGGAGGACCGAGAGGCGGCGGUGCACUGAUGGGCCCGCUGAAUGCACAUCAGUGAGAGGAAGCUGUUGCCAGCAGCCGCUGCCCCCUCUCUCCAUUCCUCUACCCUCACCUUCUGGGCCCCAUCUGGGCUCCUGGGCCAUUUGGAAAAUAGAGAGUUGGUGAAAGGCGCAGCCAGCUGUGGCUUGAGCUUGUUAUCUUCUUGACAGAGGAGGAAGAGGGUGCAGGUAGGAAGAAAACUUUGGUUGGGGGCACGGCCUGCCCACCCUUGCAAUCUGUCAUCUUUCUGAGGUGGGGCAAAUUGUGGACAUGCCUGACACUAAGUCCCUGCUGGACCUGGGUCCAAAAUCGACCCUUUUUAUGCACACAGGGGUGGAGAAAAGUUCGGAAUACCAAGACCUGCCAUUGCCUCCUAGCCUGGGCUUGGAGGAUGCCCUGUCCUAAGGCCAGAGUGGGGUUGUGGCCAGCAGAGAGCCCCAUAUCCUCUAUCCCUGUGGAGCUGUGUGUGGGAUCCAGGAGGCUGAGUGGUUUAUUUUAUGGGACUCCUGGGAUGCAAGCCUGGAGAAACCAGGACCAGCUCCGGGAGCAACAGACCAAAACCGAGCAGCUGCCUGUGAAGUGGAACAAAAUGCCCAGUAAACUUGGGCUACAAAACAAAAGAGUUUGCUACCUCCCUCCUCCCCGUCCCCAAGCAAUUCAUCUUCUGGAGCUGGCUGAGUCUCCUACCCCCUCCUGCUCCACCAGCCACUUCCCAGGUUAUAAGUAAAUCAUUGUCAUGGGCCAGCUAGGGGAAGGAUUCAAUUAUGGUUCUGUUUGGCCGCCUUUGUUUCUAGCCUGCUAUUGUAGGCAUUUACAGCUGUGUUAUUCGCUAUCCAAGGAGGGAAUAGCCUUUUGUGUCUCUGAUCUAAUUAAACCUGCUAGGCUGUGUUCAUCCGAAGGUCGCACCUGGGAUUGGCUGGUGCCAGCCACCCCAUAAAGUAUCCACUACAGAAGCAGCCAAACAGGUUUGUCCUGGUAGGAAUUAGUCAGUCACUCCCACUGAACCCCAUUCCUGAACAAUGAAGGUAACCUUAAAACGGAAGGCUUUGAUGGUGGUCCUGUGAAUUUUAAUUUUCCCUUCUCAUUUUUGUUCUUCUGCUGUUAAAAUCUUAGGCCUGAGGCAUGCUUCCGUGAUAAGGUAUUUAUUUUGGCAGCGAUGCUUGAGGCACACUUAAUUCAAAAGAUGCACCAAUUCUUUUUAUGUUUUAUGUGGAAGCAGUGUCCUUGGUGCUGGGAGGACACCCCUUCAGAAUGCCUUCUCCAGAGAGCUGACUGCAGUCACAGAUGCCACGUGGUGUAGUCAGUGCCAAAUCUGGCGACACUCCUAAAGCACUGGUUCCUGAUUGUGGGAUCUGUUGGCAGCAGGCUGGCUAAUAAUACUCACUGGAUCUCCUGCUGAGCCAUAGUUUGCUUUAUUAUGAGGCUUUAAACAUUUUUUACAACGCGUUCCUUGUAUUCCGGUGAGCUCUUUAAUGAUGUGUGCCCUGGACUUCAGAAUGCAUCUCUGCCGCUCAAUGAUGUUGCUAACGCUGUCUCAAAAGUUGAGUCGAGUUUUUCUUUCUGUUGGGAGUCAUUAGAGAUUACACUGAACAUACACUGAACGUGUCAUUUUGCGACCUAAUUCUCACGGUUGGAGUAGAAUCAUAUUUGAGUCUCUACCGUGUGGUCAUCCUUGGGCCUCCUGCCUGGACAUCUCUAAAUCAAGGCAACAAGACUUGAAGGAUGUCCUUGUAUACUUUUUCGGACUUGGCAUUUGAGGCCAUAAUUUUUAAGACUUCAUAGCACCUCCAUAUGACAUCAUUUCAUUACAAGGGCAUUAGCUAUGUUCCCUGCUUUUGCAGGCAUCUCCAGACAGGUCCUAUCACUUUGUUAAAGAUGAACCACACUCAACCCCAGCCUGCAUCUUUGGAGACCCAUCGUCCCCUGUUGGGAAUGUAAGUCUAGUUUCCAUGUUUAGUAAAUCUCACCACUUAGUGUUUAUGUUGUCUUGCUCAUGGAAAAGCAGAGCAAGAGAAACAUGGGGCCCUGGCUGGUUUGGCUCAGUGGAUAGAGCAUUGGCCUGUGGACUGAAGGGUCCCGGGUUUGAUUCCAUGCCCAGGUUGCAGACUUGAUCCCCAGUGUGGGGUGUGCAGGAGGCAGCUGAUCAAUGAUUCUCAUUACUGAUGUUGCUAUGCCUCUCCCUCUCCUUUCCUUGCUGAAAUCAAUAAAAAAAUAUAUUUUUUAAAAAAAGAGAGAGAAGCAUGGGUACAGGCAUUGAGGAGAGCUACUCUACCUAACAGAUUUGGAUUUUCUUUUAUGUUGAGCACAGUAGUGAAAGUUGGAAGGAAUGACUAACGUGCAGGCAGCGGGAAGGAAGAAGAACAGGCAACACUGCCCAGCAGCUCAGGGCUAGCCAGCCAGCUCUCUUUCCCUCUCCCCCAUCGCUGUCUCCCUCUUUUGCUCUCACAUGGAAAGUGAAUGUCAUUGGUCACAUUGAGGUAUAGCGGUGACUAUCUGUUGUUGCAAACAAACUGCUUUUGUGAGAAGUCUCAAGCAAACAGGUUUUUGAUGGCAGAAGAGGAAAUAGAUCUACUCCGCGUCCUGCUUUCCCAUGUCCAACAAGCAUUUUGUACAGGGUACCAGAGAUGGGACAUAUGUACGUCUUAGGAACUGUGAUGCCAUCGGAAGGUUUUGUAGGCUCAUAAGGCUUCAAGUAGAGCAACAACCAACCAGCAAAGAUGCCAAGAAAGGAGGAAGGAAUCGGCUCUCAGCUCUUUCUUCAAUAUGGCAGUGUUGUGGGAUUAAGACUUUAGAACUAUUUUGUACAUCAAAUUACAGAUGCUCUUUGAAGGAAAGAAAUAUCGAUUCUAAGGUUCUUCAGAGGCUCUGGCAGGGAUGAGCAGGACACCCGCGUGGAGCGUAUGCUAAGUGUAAUCAUACAAAUUCUAUUUUCUUACCUGAGCAGCUAUUUUAUGGGACUGCUUAUGUAUGUCCGAGGAGCCCACAACUUCAGCCACGCAACUUUUUUGUACUGCGAGAACUCAACUUUUUGUAGCUUUUAUUUCACAUUUAAUUUAAAGUAACUAGAGCACUAAAAUGCCUAGCGGAAGAUUUUCCUCCAGACCCGUAAGGAAAUUUUAUGAAAAAUGACCCGUCCGUGGUUAAACUUUUCAUGUUGUUGGUGCUUCUGACCCCAAUAGCACCACUAGACAACACAACAACCACAUGGAAACAUAUUUUUGGAAGCAAAACUUUAAUUUUAUACGACAUAUGCUAUGGAGAGUGAAGAAAAUUUAAGGAUUACUUGUUUUCUAUUUUUUUCUUAACAAAAUGGAAUCCACUGUGUCGAAGACUCUUGAUAUGUGAUUGUCUAACAUUUUUUAUACCAGUAAAUUGAAAUAAAAUCCAGUAUGAUCAUGGUCAUUGAAUGCAUUAGUCUGAAAAGUUAUAUUUUAUUUAUGAUUUUUAAAAAUCAGGGUAACUGUAAACUUUUCAUUGUGUUGUUUUGUUCUUCAGUAUACUUGUAACCCAUGGAGAAUUCCAUUGAUGAACACGAUAAUUUCCACAUGUGUUUUAUUUCUCAGUGAACUGUGUAAACUUUAAUUUUGUUGAAGGUUAUAUGUUAACUCUGUUAAUGUUCUCAUACCACUUCUUGAGAAGGAAGUUCUGAUUUGAAAUUGUAUCAUUUCCUUCAAAAUGAAGGGCAGUGCUUAGUUAAAUAAAAGAUUGAUAACAUCUUUUAAACCA